UACAGAGGUCUCAAGCGUUGUUCGGAUUCAUUGGGCGUAAAGGGGUGCGUAGGCGGCCAUCUAAGUCGGGCGUGAAAUCCCACGGCUCAACCGUGGAAGUGCACUCGAAACUGGAUGGCUAGAGUCCUGGAGAGGAAGGUGGAAUGCUUGGUGUAGAGGUGAAAUUCGUAGAUAUCAAGCGGAACACCGGUGGCGAAGGCGGCCUUCUGGACAGUGACGUGACGCUGAGACGGCGAAAGCGUGGGGA
rnacentral:rRNA from 1 species